GACGAACGCUGGCGGCGUGCUUAACACAUGCAAGUCGAACGGAAAGGCCCUGCUUUUGUGGGGUGCUCGAGUGGCGAACGGGUGAGUAACACGUGAGUAACCUGCCCUUGUCUUUGUGAUAACUUCAGGAAACUGGGGCUAAUACCGGAUAGGAGCUCCUGCUGCAUGGUGGGGGUUGGAAAGUUUCGGCGGUUGGGGAUGGACUCGCGGCUUAUCAGCUUGUUGGUGGGGUAGUGGCUUACCAAGGGUUUGACGGAUAGCCGGCCUGAGAGGGUGACCGGCCACAUUGGGACUACGAUACGGACCAGAAUCCAACGGGAGGCAGCAGUGGGGAAUAUUGCACAAUGGGCGGAAGCCUGAUGCAGCAACGCUGGGUGCGGGAUGACGGCCUUCGGGUUGUAAACCGCUUUCGCCUGUGACGAAGCGUGAGUGACGGUAAUGGGUAAAGAAGCAACGGCUAACUACGUG
rnacentral:rRNA from 1 species